CCUACGGGGGGCAGCAGUGAGGAAUAUUGGUCAAUGGGCGAGAGCCUGAACCAGCCAAGUCGCGUGAGGGAGUACUGCCCUAUGGGUUGUAAACCUCUUUUGUCGGGGAGCAAAAGCCGGACGUGUCCGGCUGUGAGAGUACCCCGAGAAAAAGCCACGGCUAACCCCGUGCCAGCAGCCGCGGUAAUAAGGAGGAUCCGAGCGUUAGCCGGAUUUAUUGGGGUUAAAGGGAGCGUAGAUGGGUUGUUAAGUCAGUUGUGAAAGUUUGGGGGGAAACCGUAAAAUUGCAAUUGAGACUGGCAGUCUUGAGUACAGGUGAGGUAGGCGGAAUGCGUGGUGUAGCGGUGAAAUGCUUAGAUAUCACGAAGAACUCCGAUUGCGAAGGCAGCUUACUAAACUGCCACUGACAUUGAUGCUCGAAAGUGUGGGUAUCAAACAGGAUUAGAUACCCUUGUAGUC
rnacentral:rRNA from 1 species